rnacentral:rRNA from 1 species
CUGGGGAGUACGGCCGCAAGGUUAAAACUCAAAUGAAUUGACGGGGGCCCGCACAAGCGGUGGAGCAUGUGGUUUAAUUCGAUGCAACGCGAAGAACCUUACCUGGUCUUGACAUCCACGGAAGAAUCCAGAGAUGGAUUUGUGCCUUCGGGAACCGUGAGACAGGUGCUGCAUGGCUGUCGUCAGCUCGUGUUGUGAAAUGUUGGGUUAAGUCCCGCAACGAGCGCAACCCUUAUCCUUUGUUGCCAGCGAUUAGGUCGGGAACUCAAAGGAGACUGCCAGU